rnacentral:rRNA from 1 species
AGAGUUUGAUCAUGGCUCAGAACGAACGCUGGCGGCGUGGAUAAGACAUGCAAGUCGAACGAGAUUUUCUUUGGUAGCAAUACCGAAGAAAGUCUAGUGGCGAACGGGUGCGUAACACGUGGGCAAUCUGCCUUAAAGUGGGGGAUAGCUCGGCGAAAGCCGAAUUAAUACCGCAUGUGAUCAGAGGGGACAUCCCUUCGAAAUCAAAGUCGGGGCAACCUGACGCUUUUUGAGGAGCCCGCGGCCUAUCAGCUAGUUGGUGAGGUAAUGGCUCACCAAGGCUCUGACGGGUAGCUGGUCUGAGAGGACGACCAGUCACACUGGAACUGAGACACGGUCCAGACACCUACGGGUGGCAGCAGUCGAGAAUUUUUCUCAAUGGGGGAAACCCUGAAGGAGCGACGCCGCGUGGAGGAUGAAGGUCUUCGGGUUGUAAACUCCUGUCAUUUGGGAACAAGUGCCGGUACCUAACUGCUACCGGCUUGAUAGUACCAGAAGAGGAAGGGACGGCUAACUCUGUGCCAGCAGCCGCGGUAAUACAGAGGUCUCAAGCGUUGUUCGGAUUCAUUGGGCGUAAAGGGUGUGUAGGUGGCGCGCUAAGUUGGGUGUGAAAUUUCGGAGCUUAACUCCGAAACUGCAUUCGAUACUGGCGUGCUUGAGGACUAGAGAGGAGACUGGAAUUCAUGGUGUAGCAGUGAAAUGCGUAGAGAUCAUGAGGAAGACCAGUGGCGAAGGCGGGUCUCUGGACAGUUCCUGACACUGAGACACGAAGGCCAGGGGAGCAAACGGGAUUAGAUACCCCAGUAGUCC